rnacentral:tRNA from 1 species
CCGGUUUUAGCUCAGUGGUAGAGCAGCUGACUGUAGUUUGUAAAAAGUCAUCAGCUGGUCGCUAGUUCAAUCCUGGCAAACCGGA